rnacentral:rRNA from 1 species
ACGGGUGAGUAGCGCGUGGAUAAUCUGCCUUACACAACGGAAUAACAAAUGGAAACAGUUGCUAAUGCCGUAUAUGCGCACGGUGUCGCAUGACACAGGGCGAAAAUAUUUAUCGGUGUAAGAUGAGUCCGCGUCUGAGGUCUUGUUGGCGGGGUAAAAGCCCACCAAGGCGACGAUCGGUAACCGGCCUGAGAGGGUGAACGGCCACGUUGGGACUGAGACACUCCCCAGACUCCUACGGGAGGCAACUCUGGGGGAUAUUGCACAAUGGGCAAAAACCUGAUGCACCGACGCCACGUGAAGGAAGAAAUAUUUCGGUAUGUAAAGCUCUGUUGUUAGGGAAGAAUGAUUGUGUAUUAACUAUACGCAGUAAACACGGUACCUAACCAGAAAGCCACGGCUAACUACGUGCCAGCAGCCGCGGUAAUACCUAGGUGGCAAGCGUUGUCCGGAAUUAUUGGGCGUAAAGCGCGCGCAGGUGGUUUAGUAAGUCUGAUGUGAAAGCCCACGGCUCAACCGUGUAGAGUCAUUGUAAACUGUUAAACUUGAGUGCAAGAGAGAAAAGUGGAAUUCCUAGUGUAUCGGUGAAAAUGCGUAGAGAUUACGAGGAACACCAGUGGCUAACGCGGCUGUUUGUCAUGUAACUGAUACUGAGGCGCGAAAGCAUGCGGAGCUAACAAGACUAGAUACCCUGGCAGUCCACGCCGUAUGC